GUAUUCAACUUGGACUUCAAGGAUUUCCUGGACAGGUGAAGGGAUAGAGACACACCUGGAGUCUCCCGGUGCUGGAGCAGGCACUCAGAGGUCCUCAGGGGCCACUUUCAGCAGACUUCCUUAGGAUCUUUUCUUGCUAUGUCUUCAGUUCCCCAGCCUAGGCUUCAGUUUGUUCAGGGCACAUCCCACUGUGCUUUUAAGCUUGGAACAGCCUUCCUGUGACUAUGCUGAUCCGAAAGUGAAGCCAAGAGAAGCACGAGGCUGAGCAGUUAUAAGGGAGGGAAUCUGGAUACUCCAAUGGUACCCCAAGAUGCAACCAGGACUUCUUGAUUACCAGCCGU
rnacentral:lncRNA from 1 species